AUUGAACGCUGGCGGCAUGCCUUACACAUGCAAGUCGAACGGUAACGGGCCUUCGGGUGCCGACGAGUGGCGAACGGGUGAGUAAUGUAUCGGAACGUACCUUUCAGUGGGGGAUAACGUAGCGAAAGUUACGCUAAUACCGCAUAUUCUGUGAGCAGGAAAGCAGGGGAUCGCAAGACCUUGCGCUGAUUGAGCGGCCGAUAUCAGAUUAGCUAGUUGGUGAGGUAAAAGCUCACCAAGGCGACGAUCUGUAGCGGGUCUGCGAGGAUGAUCCGCCACACUGGAACUGAGACACGGUCCAGACUCCUACGGGAGGCAGCAGUGGGGAAUUUUGGACAAUGGGGGCAACCCUGAUCCAGCCAUGCCGCGUGAGUGAAGAAGGCCUUCGGGUUGUAAAGCUCUUUCGGCCGGGAAGAAAUCGUAUCAGCUAAUACCUGGUGCGGAUGACGGUACCGGCAUAAGAAGCACCGGCUAACUACGUGCCAGCCGCCGCAGUAACAC
rnacentral:rRNA from 1 species